rnacentral:rRNA from 1 species
GGCGAUGAAGGACGUGCUAAUCUGCGAUAAGCGUCGGUAAGGUGAUAUGAACCGUUAUAACCGGCGAUUUCCGAAUGGGGAAACCCAGUGUGUUUCGACACACUAUCAUUAACUGAAUCCAUAGGUUAAUGAGGCGAACCGGGGGAACUGAAACAUCUAAGUACCCCGAGGAAAAGAAAUCAACCGAGAUUCCCCCAGUAGCGGCGAGCGAACGGGGAGCAGCCCAGAGCCUGAAUCAGUGUGUGUGUUAGUGGAAGCGUCUGGAAAGGCGCGCGAUACAGGGUGACAGCCCCGUACACAAAAAUGCACAUGCUGUGAGCUCGAUGAGUAGGGCGGGACACGUGGUAUCCUGUCUGAAUAUGGGGGGACCAUCCUCCAAGGCUAAAUACUCCUGACUGACCGAUAGUGAACCAGUACCGUGAGGGAAAGGCGAAAAGAACCCCGGCGAGGGGAGUGAAAAAGAACCUGAAACCGUGUACGUACAAGCAGUGGGAGCACGCUUAGGCGUGUGACUGCGUACCUUUUGUAUAAUGGGUCAGCGACUUAUAUUCUGUAGCAAGGUUAACCGAAUAGGGGAGCCGAAGGGAAACCGAGUCUUAACUGGGCGUUAAGUUGCAGGGUAUAGACCCGAAACCCGGUGAUCUAGCCAUGGGCAGGUUGAAGGUUGGGUAACACUAACUGGAGGACCGAACCGACUAAUGUUGAAAAAUUAGCGGAUGACUUGUGGCUGGGGGUGAAAGGCCAAUCAAACCGGGAGAUAGCUGGUUCUCCCCGAAAGCUAUUUAGGUAGCGCCUCGUGAAUUCAUCUCCGGGGGUAGAGCACUGUUUCGGCAAGGGGGUCAUCCCGACUUACCAACCCGAUGCAAACUGCGAAUACCGGAGAAUGUUAUCACGGGAGACACACGGCGGGUGCUAACGUCCGUCGUGAAGAGGGAAACAACCCAGACCGCCAGCUAAGGUCCCAAAGUCAUGGUUAAGUGGGAAACGAUGUGGGAAGGCCCAGACAGCCAGGAUGUUGGCUUAGAAGCAGCCAUCAUUUAAAGAAAGCGUAAUAGCUCACUGGUCGAGUCGGCCUGCGCGGAAGAUGUAACGGGGCUAAACCAUGCACCGAAGCUGCGGCAGCGACGCUGAUGCGUUGUUGGGUAGGGGAGCGUUCUGUAAGCCUGCGAAGGUGUGCUGUGAGGCAUGCUGGAGGUAUCAGAAGUGCGAAUGCUGACAUAAGUAACGAUAAAGCGGGUGAAAAGCCCGCUCGCCGGAAGACCAAGGGUUCCUGUCCAACGUUAAUCGGGGCAGGGUGAGUCGACCCCUAAGGCGAGGCCGAAAGGCGUAGUCGAUGGGAAACAGGUUAAUAUUCCUGUACUUGGUGUUACUGCGAAGGGGGGACGGAGAAGGCUAUGUUGGCCGGGCGACGGUUGUCCCGGUUUAAGCGUGUAGGCUGGUUUUCCAGGCAAAUCCGGAAAAUCAAGGCUGAGGCGUGAUGACGAGGCACUACGGUGCUGAAGCAACAAAUGCCCUGCUUCCAGGAAAAGCCUCUAAGCAUCAGGUAACAUCAAAUCGUACCCCAAACCGACACAGGUGGUCAGGUAGAGAAUACCAAGGCGCUUGAGAGAACUCGGGUGAAGGAACUAGGCAAAAUGGUGCCGUAACUUCGGGAGAAGGCACGCUGAUAUGUAGGUGAAGUCCCUCGCGGAUGGAGCUGAAAUCAGUCGAAGAUACCAGCUGGCUGCAACUGUUUAUUAAAAACACAGCACUGUGCAAACACGAAAGUGGACGUAUACGGUGUGACGCCUGCCCGGUGCCGGAAGGUUAAUUGAUGGGGUCAGCGCAAGCGAAGCUCUUGAUCGAAGCCCCGGUAAACGGCGGCCGUAACUAUAACGGUCCUAAGGUAGCGAAAUUCCUUGUCGGGUAAGUUCCGACCUGCACGAAUGGCGUAAUGAUGGCCAGGCUGUCUCCACCCGAGACUCAGUGAAAUUGAACUCGCUGUGAAGAUGCAGUGUACCCGCGGCAAGACGGAAAGACCCCGUGAACCUUUACUAUAGCUUGACACUGAACAUUGAGCCUUGAUGUGUAGGAUAGGUGGGAGGCUUUGAAGUGUGGACGCCAGUCUGCAUGGAGCCGACCUUGAAAUACCACCCUUUAAUGUUUGAUGUUCUAACGUUGACCCGUAAUCCGGGUUGCGGACAGUGUCUGGUGGGUAGUUUGACUGGGGCGGUCUCCUCCUAAAGAGUAACGGAGGAGCACGAAGGUUGGCUAAUCCUGGUCGGACAUCAGGAGGUUAGUGCAAUGGCAUAAGCCAGCUUGACUGCGAGCGUGACGGCGCGAGCAGGUGCGAAAGCAGGUCAUAGUGAUCCGGUGGUUCUGAAUGGAAGGGCCAUCGCUCAACGGAUAAAAGGUACUCCGGGGAUAACAGGCUGAUACCGCCCAAGAGUUCAUAUCGACGGCGGUGUUUGGCACCUCGAUGUCGGCUCAUCACAUCCUGGGGCUGAAGUAGGUCCCAAGGGUAUGGCUGUUCGCCAUUUAAAGUGGUACGCGAGCUGGGUUUAGAACGUCGUGAGACAGUUCGGUCCCUAUCUGCCGUGGGCGCUGGAGAACUGAGGGGGGCUGCUCCUAGUACGAGAGGACCGGAGUGGACGCAUCACUGGUGUUCGGGUUGUCAUGCCAAUGGCACUGCCCGGUAGCUAAAUGCGGAAGAGAUAAGUGCUGAAAGCAUCUAAGCACGAAACUUGCCCCGAGAUGAGUUCUCCCUGACUCCUUGAGAGUCCUGAAGGAACGUUGAAGACGACGACGUUGAUAGGCCGGGUGUGUAAGCGCAGCGAUGCGUUGAGCUAACCGGUACUAAUGAACCGUGAGGCUUAACCUU